rnacentral:rRNA from 1 species
UGGGGAAUUUUCCGCAAUGGGCGAAAGCCUGACGGAGCAAGACCGCGUGGGGGAAGAAGGUUUGUGGAUUGUAAACCCCUUUUUGAUUGGGAAGAUGAUGACGGUACCAAUCGAAUCAGCCUCGGCUAACUCCGUGCCAGCAGCCGCGGUAAUACGGAGGAGGCAAGCGUUAUCCGGAAUUAUUGGGCGUAAAGCGUCCGUAGGUGGAUAUUCGUGUCAGUUGUUAAAGGAUGCGGCUUAACCGCAUAAAGGCGAUUGAAACUGGAUGUCUAGAGUGCGAUAGGGGCAAGGGGAAUUCCCAGUGUAGCGGUGAAAUGCGUAGAUAUUGGGAAGAACACCGGUGGCGAAAGCGCCUUGCUGGGUCUGCACUGACACUGAGGGACGAAAGCUAGGGGAGCGAAAGGGAUUAGAUACCCCUGUAGUCCUAGCUGUAACGAUGGGUACUAGGCGUUGUCCGUAUCGACCCGGGCAGUGCCGUAGCUAACGCGUUAAGUACCCCGCUGGGGAGUACGCUCGCAAG